ensembl:snRNA U1 U1 spliceosomal RNA
AUACUUACCUGGCAGGGAAGAUACCACGAUCACGAAGGUAGUUUUCCCAGGGUGAGUAUUAUAUAUUAUAUUUAUCCAUUGCACUCCGGAUGUGCUGACCCCUGCGAUUUCCCCAAAUGUGAAAAACUCGACUGCAUAAUUUGUGGUAGUGGAGGACUGCGUUUGCACUUUCCCCUG